CGCUGGCGGCGUGACUUAACACAUGCAAGUCGAACGGAAAGGCCCUGCUUUGUGGGGUGCUCGAGUGGCGAACGGGUGAGUAACACGUGAGUAACCUGCCCUUGACUUUGGGAUAACUUCAGGAAACUGGGGCUAAUACCGGAUAGGAGCUCCUGCUGCAUGGUGGGGGUUGGAAAGUUUCGGCGGUUGGGGAUGGACUCGCGGCUUAUCAGCUUGUUGGUGGGGUAGUGGCUUACCAAGGCUUUGACGGGUAGCCGGCCUGAGAGGGUGACCGGCCACAUUGGGACUGAGAUACGGCCCAGACUCCUACGGGAGGCAGCAGUGGGGAAUAUUGCACAAUGGGCGGAAGCCUGAUGCAGCAACGCCGCGUGCGGGAUGACGGCCUUCGGGUUGUAAACCGCUUUCGCCUGUGACGAAGCGUGAGUGACGGUAAUGGGUAAAGAAGCACCGGCUAACUACGUG
rnacentral:rRNA from 1 species